AACGAACGCUGGCGGCGUGGAUAAGACAUGCAAGUCGAACGAGACUUUUCGUUGUAGCAAUACGAUGGAAAGUUUAGUGGCGAACGGGUGCUUAACACGUGGGCAACCUGCCAGGAAGUGGGGGAUAGCUCGCCGAAAGGCGAAUUAAUACCGCAUGUGAUUAGAAAGGACAUCCUUUCGAAAUUAAAGUCGGGGCAACCUGACGCUUCUUGUGGGGCCCGCGGCCUAUCAGCUAGUUGGUGAGGUAAUGGCUCACCAAGGCUUUGACGGGUAGCUGGUCUGAGAGGACGACCAGCCACACUGGGACUGAGACACGGCCCAGACACCUACGGGUGCCAGCAGUCGAGAAUUUUUGACAAUGGGGGAAACCCUGAUCGAGCGACGCCGCGUGGAGGAUGAAGGUCUUCGGAUUGUAAACUCCUGUCAUUGGGGAACAAGGUGCAUACGUUAAUUGCGUGUGCAUUGAUAGUACCCGAAGAGGAAGAGACGGCUAACUCUGUGCCAGCAGCCGCCGUAAUAC
rnacentral:rRNA from 1 species